GGAUCUAUAAGCUCAAAAUGGAAAGAGCACUCAUAAAUGAGAGGGUGAUGGUUCAAAUCCAUCUAGAUCCA
rnacentral:tRNA from 1 species